GUUGGAUCCUGCCGGACCCCACUGCUAUCGGGAUAGGACUAAGACAUGCUAGUUGAGCGCUUCCAGCCAACACGGGAGCGCAGCGCACAGCUCAGUAACACGUGGCUAAUCUGCCCUUGGGACCGGAACACCCCCGGGAAACUGGGGCUAAUUCUCGAUAGGUGAAGAACUCUGGAAUGAGUCUUUGCCAAAAAGACGUUUACGUUAUGCUCGUAGGCGUUGCCCAAGGAUGAGGCCGCGACCGAUCAGGUUGUUGGUGAGGUAAUGGCUCACCAAGCCUUUUACCGGUGCGGGCCGUGAGAGCGGGAGCCCGGAGAUGGGCACUGAGACAAGGGCCCAGGCCCUACGGGGCGCAGCAGUCGCGAAAACUUUGCAAUACACGAAAGUGUGACAGGGCUAUCCCGAGUGCCAUCCGCUGAGGAAGGCUUUUACCCAGUCUAGAACGCUGGGGGAAUAAGGAGAGGGCAAGUCUGGUGUCAGCCGCCGCGGUAAUACCAGCUCUCCGAGUGGUGUGGAUGUUUAUUGGGCCUAAAGCAUCCGUAGCUGGCUGAGUUAGUCCCUUGUUAAAUCCACCGAAUUAAUCGUUGGAUUGCGGGGGAUACUGCUCGGCUAGGGGACGAGAGAGGCAGACGGUAUUUCCGGGGUAGGGGUGAAAUCCUAUAAUCCCGGGAAGACCACCAGUGGCGAAUGCUGUCUGCUAGAACGCGCCCGACGGUGAGGGAUGAAAGCUGGGGGAGCGAACCGGAUUAGAUACCCGGGUAGUCCCAGCUGUAAACGAUGCAGCUA
rnacentral:rRNA from 1 species